rnacentral:rRNA from 1 species
AUUCCAGCUCCAAUAGCGUAUAUUAAAGUUGUUGCAGUUAAAAAGCUCGUAGUUGGAUUUCUGGCAGGAGCGACCGGUCCGCCGCAAGGUGUGCACUAGGUUGUCUCCAGUCAUCUUUGUGGGAACUGCUCUGGCAUUAGGUUGUCGGGGUUAGGGAACACAUCGUUUACUGUGAAAAAAUUAGAGUGUUUAAAGCAGGCUUAUGCCGUUGAAUACAUUAGCAUGGAAUAAUAAGAUAGGACUUUGGCGUCUAUUUUGUUGGUUUGCACACCAAGGUAAUGAUUAAUAGGGAUAGUUGGGGGUAUUCGUAUUUAAUUGUCAGAGGUGAAAUUCUUGGAUUUAUGAAAGACGAACUUCUGCGAAAGCAUUUACCAAAGAUGUUUUCAUUA